rnacentral:rRNA from 1 species
AUGCACGCUGGCGGCGUGCCUCAUCCAUGCAAGUCGAGCGAACGGACGAGAAGCUUGCUUCUCUGAUGUUAGCGGCGGACGGGUGAGUAACACGUGGAUAACCUACCUAUAAGACUGGGAUAACUUCGGGAAACCGUAGCUAAUACCGGAUAAUAUUUUGAACCGCAUGGUUCAAAAGUGAAAGACGGUCUUGCUGUCACUUAUAGAUGGAUCCGCGCUGCAUUAGCUAGUUGGUAAGGUAACGGCUUACCAAGGCAACGAUGCAUAGCCGACCUGAGAGGGUGAUCGGCCACACUGGAACUGAGACACGGUCCAGACUCCUACGGGAGGCAGCAGUAGGGAAUCUUCCGCAAUGGGCGAAAGCCUGACGGAGCAACGCCGCGUGAGUGAUGAAGGUCUUCGGAUCGUAAAACUCUGUUAUUAGGGAAGAACAUAUGUGUAAGUAACUGUGCACAUCUUGACGGUACCUAAUCAGAAAGCCACGGCUAACUACGUG